AGUGACAGAGUUCAACGGCCGCGGUACCCUAACCGUGCGAAGGUAGCAUAAUCACUUGUUCUUUAAAUGAGGACUCGUAUCAACGGCAUCACGAGGGUUAUACUGUCUCCUUUUUCCAAUCAAUGAAACUGAUCUCCCCGUGAAGAAGCGGGGAUACACCUAUAAGACGAGAAGACCCCAUGGAGCUUUAAACCCAACGGCACUCCUAUCUUUACACACCCCCUCACCCAAUAGGACCCUGCACGCUUGGUUUUAGGUUGGGGUGACCGCGGAGAACAAAACAACCUCCACAAUGAAUGGGGCCUCCCCCUUAUCUAAGAGACACAUCUCUAAGAAUUAGCAAACUAACAUAAAAUGAUCCGAUAUUCGAUCAACGAACCAAGUUACCCUGGGGAUAACAGCGCAAUCUACUUCAAGAGCUCCUAUCGACAAGUAGGUUUACGACCUCGAUGUUGGAUCAGGGUAUCCCAGUGGUGCAGCAGCUACUAACGGUUCGUUUGUUCAACGAUUAAAACCCU
rnacentral:rRNA from 1 species